AGAAAAAGCGCUUUGUAAGGAAAAGCUGAAACGAAAUGCACGAAGGAAAACACUUUGCAGAAAAGCUCAAGAAGCAACACGAUUCGCAACUCCAGUUUCUCAAAUUCGCGUUCGUGCGUUUGAAUCGGCAUUAUCGCAUCAGCAAACGCAAUUUUGCACCGUCACUCAAUCUUCUCAACGAAAAUCAUAUCCCAUUUCGAUUCGCCAUGGAUCAAGUUCGCUGCUUCCCAUUGAUUUCCGUGAUAGACAAAAGGUAGGUGUUUAUAAGGGAUGUCGAUAAGUUGAAUUCAGAGUACUUACCAGAUCGGUGCGGCGGCGAAAAUCGGUACGAGUUCCUUCCCCUUUGUCGCCUUCGUUCGUACGUGAAGAAGCGAUCGAACUCUCCAAACACCAUGAAGCGUUCCCUUCUCCGUCUUGCGUCGGCAUUCAAGGAUUCGACGUCGAUGUUUAAUCACACUUAUGUUCAUGCUUUGAUUGCAUCACGGAUUCUUCACGAUUCUAAUUUUAGGAUUCCUCAUUCAUCUUAGCGUUUCAAACAACAUCGUGUUCGCUUCUAGACGCUUUAGGUUCGCGCAUGCAAAAUCAAAUAGCAACGCAAGUUUAUCCUAGAAAUUGACGUUGAGUAAAGUAAGAAAUGGCGGAAAACUCACUGGAUCGGAGUCGGCACGACGACCUCCCUACGAACAAACGGUGCAACGAAUCAAACGUGGGGAUGAGGUCAAGCUUAUCCGGUUAAAGCCUCAAGGAGAGAGCUUUAAUGGCUAUGAGAAUCGAGCUUUAAGUGAGAGGUUCAAGGGGGAGAAUGAGGAAGAAGACUCGAAGUGAAUUGAGGAAGAAGACUAAGUGAAUUAAGAAACCCCACUCAAAGUGAAAUGAGGUGAAUGCCCAAGUUGGAUGUUGCUUCUGUUGGAUUGGAACGAUUGUUUGGCGUUUGUUUGCUCGGGACCUGUUAACAUACCGUUGCUCCACUUCAGUUUUCCAGGUAAGCCAUUUUAUCAAGAAUGCUCUGUUGUUAUUUUAGAAAUGAUGGUUUGUUUUGGCACGACUUUGUUCAUGACAGGAAGCGUCCUGCAGGUCGGUGGCCAACGGAAGCUAGGGGUCCAAACUGCAUAACUCUGUCGUGAAUGGUUUAUAAUGAUUUUUCAUUUCUGCAGGUUGGCUGAUGUUGCUGCAAAAUGGUUAGGUCCACUUGGUAGAUUCAUGUGUGGGCUGCAACCAUUGGUUUGUUUAAAUGUACUUGGUUUUGCUCAUGGUUUUGUUUAUUUUGUGAAGUGGUUCUUGAGGCUGUUAUGUUUAGAUACGCCUUGAAUUUUGAUGAAUAUGCAUGUUUAAUUAGAUUGAAUGCUAAAUGAUUCAUUUGGCGCAUUUUGAAUGCAGGGCAGAUUAUGUAGGACUUUGGUUAUGUUAACUGAUCCGGUGAUCAAAACAAAACUUAGCUAUGAACUCAGGACUAAGUCUCAGCUAGAGUUACUAUGGAAGAAAGACAUGUUAGGAUAUAGUAAGUUAGGUUAAUUUGGAGGAAGUUUAUGUAACCAAAUUGCGGGGUCCCAUUAGGCUUUCAAUCAUUGGUUCAUCUGCGCGAAUUUCUUGCAGGUUAAUGCACCCAUGUGAUGGAUUGAGUAAGGAAAAUCGUGACUUGCUUUGGAAGGAACAUGUUCAAAUGAAGAUUCAAGUGAAUGGACGACUUGUAGGAGAAAUAGGAGUUAGGGUUCAAUAACAUGAAUGCAUGAAGUAUAAUGGAUGAAUGCAGGUAAAUCACAAGCCACAGAUUGGAUAAAAUAUAAAAGGGGGGAGGGUAAAUUUUGGGGUACGACAGCUGCCCCUAUUUAAUCAGCUUAAACCUGAAUGGACAAAUUGCGAGAGCUUUUCGGAUAUUCAAGGUAUGGGUGGAUUAAAUACCAAAGUAUCAGAAAAAUUUCCCAUUGAGGACGGUUAUAUGGGAUGUAGGGAUGUCGACUUGACUUUUACAGGUGCAUCUGCUGAUGAUUUUAUUGGGAUAUUGAUGGAAAAUGAAGGUCAUCAUAUGCAUGUUAUGUGUAUAUUUUACCACUUUAUGAAACAUGGGGCCAUGUAUGCUAAUCAGAGCUCAUACGUUCUCAGAAUACCAUUGCAAUCAAGGGAUUUCAAAAUGAAUUGUCAGUUCAACAAUUGGAAACAAAAUCAAACAUAGAGGUUUGAAAAAGAACGGUCAUCAACCUUAUAGGUUGGGAAAAAGGUUUGUCAACCAUGUAGAUUGAAAAAGGUUCAUCAAUCACGAAGGUUGAAGAAAGAUUCAUCAACCACAAGAGUGGGAAACAAAGGUCAUCAACCCUAAAGGUCGAAAAAAGAUUCGACACCCAUGGUGGUUGGAAGAAGAUUCAACAACCGCAAAGGUUGGAAGCUAGAGGAUCAUCAACCCUAAAGGUCGGAAACAAAGUCUAUCAUCGCCCUAGUGGUGGAAAAAAGACUCAACAACCAUGAAAGUUGGAAACAAAAAUCACCAAUCCUAAAGAUUGGGAAAAGGUUAUCAAUCCUGAAGGUUGAAAAAAGUUUCUCAACCCUGAAGGUUAGAAAAAGGAUCAUCAACCCUAAAGGUUGGAAAAAGAUACCAAGCAGACUGGGCUUUAAAAGAUGCCAAGCAAGUUGGAUUUUGGAAGAAUAGUCAAACUAGCUGGUUAUAAAAGGUACCAGGCAAGUUUGGAAUUAGAAGAUGCCAACAAAGUAUUGGGCUUUGGUUCUUCUGAUUUGCAUACACGACUUCAAGCUAUGCCAGAUGAAUAAUAUGCAUAAGAAACGACAUGAUUUAUACAUGAUGACGAUUUAUGCAAUGGUUAUCAAAUGCUUAUAUAGAGGGAGGUGGGAAUCUUGGGCUAGGAUAAGGUCAUCCAAACAUAAUUCUUCGACACCUACUUCAAGCUGAUAUUUGUAGUAACACCUCUGGACUUGGUCUGAAACUUGGAAAGAGCUUGUACAUGCGUAGCCUGCUUCUACCCCAAUUUACUGGAUAGUUGCACCAACUGUCCCAGUUACAAGUCGUGUAGUUGUUUCAACAUCUGAAUAUCUCAAAUCGAUUUGCUCCAGUGUCUUGAAAUUAUGUUCUCUUGAUUAACCAUCUUGGGAGUAAUUGGCUCAUCAUGCUCUUGAAGUGGCUUGCCCUAAUAUGAGCCUUGAAGUAACUUUUUGCCCCUAUCCGGCUGAUUCAGAGAGAUUUGUAGGAUCUCGGCGUGGUUGCCCCAGAUUGACUGUCUCUUGAAGAGAUCUGAGCUAUGAGAUAUCAGGAAUUUGAUUAACUUUCACAUAUGUAAGCUCCCUUGAAGUCAAAUGAUUGUUUGAAGGUAAAAUGCUCAUUUUGAAAAUGAUAAUUGUAAUGUCAUGCUCA